AUGGCCGGGCUGGCCAGCAGGCGCUGCUUCCGGAGCACGUCCUCGGGCGCCACCGACGCCAGGAUGGAGUCGAGCCGCGGCACGUCCGCCUCCGCCACGAACACGCUGAUCUGCUCCCACGGGAUGGCGUCCGCGAAGGGCAGCACGAUGUCGUCGGCGAUGAUCACCGGGAUGCACCCGAACACCACCGCCUCCACCAGCCGCGGGCUCCACGGCGCCCACCCCAGCGGGCACAGGCAGAAGAUGGCCCGCUGCAUGUCCUCGUAG
rnacentral:rRNA from 1 species